rnacentral:lncRNA from 1 species
UAAAUUUCCCUGUACCUACUGCUUUUGUACAUCAAGACAACUUGCAGGCUGAGGUGCUCUCUGUGUCCUGACAUGUCAGAUUUGGGAAAUGAGUGAAGCAGGUAAAGUGAAACUGUUUUUGUUUUAUUAUUAUUAAUAUUAUUUUCAAUGCAUUUUUCUCCUUUCUGUGCUCUAACAGGAUGCUGUACCUUCUCACCUGUAUUCUGGAGCUCUCAUAAAGGUAUUUUCAUCCAUGGAUGAUUUUAAAUAGGUGUUUUGAUUGGGGGAUGAGGGCCAGAAACUCCUAUUUUGCCAUCUUACUGUGUCAGUUGUGUUGAUUUUAAAUUUUAUUGCAUUGUCUUUGAAACAUUCAAAUAACAUUAAGCUUUUUAAGUUUUUGCAACAUAUUUAUGACCAAACAUAGUUUAUCCUGCAGAAUGUUUCAGGUUGACUUGAGGAGAAUGUGUAUUUUCCCAAUUGGGGAUGGACUGUCCUAUAGUUGUCUGUUAGCUCUAUUUGAUUUUUAGUGUUGUUCCGAUAUUUCAUCUUAUUGUUCUUCAGUCUGGUUCUUUGAUCUAUUAUUAAAACUGGGCUAUUAAAAUCUUCAAUUAUUUUUGUGGAAUCAUCUAUUUCUCCUUCAAUUUUGUCAGAUUUCUCUUCAUGUAUUUUUGGGCUCUGUAAGUACACAUAUGUUUAUAAUUAUGUAUUCUUCAUGGAUUGGCACUUUUAUCAGCAUAAAAUAUCCAUUUUUAUUUUUAUUAAUAAUUUUAUUCUCAAAGUCUUUUUAUUUCUAUUUGUAUAGCUCUUCUAGCUUUCCAGGUGAUUAUAGUUUAUAUGUUGUCUUCUUCACAUCAACUUACUUUCAAUUUAUUUUUAUCUUACUUAUCAACUUGUUUCUCCUAGAGGUAUACAUUUGGAUAUUUUUCAAAAAAUUCAUUCUGCUGAUCUCUGCCUAUUGAUUGACACAUAAUGUGGUCUGAAGAUUUGUGCCCCCAAAAUUUGUGUGUCAAAACCUAGUGCCAGUGUAAUAACAGCAGUGCAACCUUUGGUUGGUGACUAGGUCAUAAGAAAAGGGUCCUCAUUAUGGAAAUAAUGACCUUAAAAAAGAGGUUCCAAGGCAGCUUGUUUGCCCCUUCGACUAUGUGGAGACGCAAUGAGAAGGUACUGUCUACAAGGAACAGGACACCAUAUCUUCUGGUGCCUUGAUUAUGCACUUCUUAGCCUCCAUAAUUGUGAAAAAUAAAUUUAUGUUAUUUAUAAGCUGCCCAGAUUAUGGUACUGGGCAGGGUUAGAGUUAGGGUUAGGGUUCUGUUUUCAGUUCUUUUUCUUUGAGAAAUUUUCAAACUCCUCUCCAAAGUGGCUGAACUAAUUUAUAUUCCCAUCAGCA